CAAUAGCGUAUAUUUAAGUUGUUGCAGUUAAAAAGCUCGUAGUUGGAUUUCGGGUUGGCUUCAGCGGUCUCGCUUUGCGUUUGUACUGCCGCAGCCUUCCUUCUUGCUGGGGACGGUCCUCCGGGCUUCAUUGCUUGGGGUCUGGAAUCAGCGACGUUACUUUGAGUAAAUUAGAGUGUUCAAAGCAAGCCUACGCUCUGAAUAUAAUAGCAUGGGAUAACACGACAGGACUCUGGCCUAUCGUGUUGGUCUGUGGGACCAGAGUAAUGAUUAAGAGGGACAGUCGGGGGCAUUCGUAUUCCGUUGUCAGAGGUGAAAUUCUUGGAUUUACGGAAGACGAACAUCUGCGAAAGCAUUUGCCAAGGAUGUUUUCAUUGA
rnacentral:rRNA from 1 species